ACGUCCAGACUGGCCACGUCUGUGUAUAACGUUCAGAGAAGGUGCUGUGCAAUCUCCAACUUGCUUCCUCUCUUGGGAGGGCAGUUCUUUUACACCCUGAGGUCUCCUGGGGCGUCUUUUCAGUGAUUCCAGUCCAGGCCGGCUGCCUGUGGCUUCUUCAGCGUCCCCAAACCACGCCGGCUCCAGGGUCGCAAAGGCAGACUGUUGGAUCUCACUGGACAGUUAAGCUUUGCAAAUUUGAGAAGAUCUACGGAACUGCUUAGCUCUAUCGAGGUGGAAUGCCAGCAACCUUCUGGCAUCCAGGGUGUGCAAAUGUCCCCCUUCUCUGUUCGAGUGUGGCUUUGGAAAGAAUGAAGGUACAGUAAGUAUUCUAGACUGUGCAGGAUCAAGGAACAGGACAGCAAAACACCAAAAUGGCAUGACCAGAUGAAAAAACACCUCCAUUUAGAAAGAGUCGUCAUGUCGUGGAAAGCAAGCCCUUGAUGUCCUUGUUGCUCAAAGAAGAACCUUCAUGUGACUCCUAUUCUCC